AUCCAGCUGACGAGUCCCAAAUAGGAUGAAAUGCCUGUCCUGGAU
rnacentral:hammerhead_ribozyme from 1 species